CCUACGGGAGGCAGCAGUGGGGAAUAUUGCACAAUGGGGGAAACCCUGAUGCAGCAACGCCGCGUGAGUGAAGAAGGAUUUCGGGAUGUAAAGCUCUAGCAGCAGGGAAGAAGAAGGACGGUAACGGACGAAGAAGCCCCGGCUAACUACGUGCCAGCAGCCGCGGUAAUACGUCGGGGGCGAGCGUUAUCCGGAUGUACUGGGUGUAAAGGGAGCGUAGACGGUUACUCAAGUCGGAAGGGAAAGCCCGCGGCUCAACUGCGGAACGGCUUUGGAAACUGCGUAACUGGAGUGCUGGAGGGGCAGGCGGAAUUCCUGUUGUAGCGGUGCAAUGCGUAGAUAUCAGGAGGAACACCGGUGGCGAAGGCGGCCUGCUGGACAGUAACUGACGUUGAGGCUCGAAAGCGUGGGGAGCAAACAGGAUUAGAUACCCGUGUAGUC
rnacentral:rRNA from 1 species